AGCAGCCGCGGCAAUUCCAGCUCCAAUAGCGUAUAUUAAAGUUGUUGCAGUUAAAAAGCUCGUAGUUGAAUUUCGGGAUUGACACAUCGGUCGUGCCUUAAGGGGUAUGAACUGGUGUAGUCAAUUUCUCACCUUCUGGAGAACCGCGAUGCCCUUAAUUGGGUGUCGCGGGGAACCAGGACCUUUACUUUGAAAAAUUAGAGUGUUUAAAGCAGGCAUUUUGCUUGAAUACAUUAGCAUGGAAUAAUAAAAUAGGACGGCAUGAUUCUAUUUUGUUGGUUUCUAGGAUCACCGUAAUGAUUAAUAGGGAUAGUUGGGGGCAUUAGUAUUCAAUUGUCAGAGGUGAAAUUCUUGGAUUUAUUGAAGACUAACUACUGCGAAAGCAUUUGCCAAGGAUGUUUUCAUUAAUCAAGAACGAAAGUUAGGGGAUCGAAGACGAUCAGAUACCGUCGUAGUCUUAACCAUAAACUAUGCCGACUAGGAAUCAGACGACGUUAAUUUUUAAUGUACUCGUUUGGCA
rnacentral:rRNA from 1 species